UGCUCCAAAAUAGCCUAGUUAAUAUUUGCAGAGUGGUUCAGCUCCUUUCUCUCUCCUGCCUUUCAAAAAGAUGCUAUUCCUGUGAUUAAAACCAUUACAGUCCUUCAAAGGUUAUACAUGACUUUCAGGCUUCAGCCUCAAUAGAAGCAGCUAAAAUAGCUAAGCUUUAGACACAAGUCUAGCUGUCACAACCAAAUUAUAGUACACCAAUCAGACCUUCAUGCUAUUGUUCUAUAGAAUAUGAGGGGCCAUCCAAACCCAUCUGGGUCUCUACUCUGCAUAUCACCCUGAGGAAGUGAGCCACCACUGAGUCUAGAUGGUUUUGGGGUGCAUGUGAAGAACAU